CUACGGGGGGCACCAGUAAGGAAUAUUGCGCAAUGGGCGAAAGCCUGACGCAGCGACGCCGCGUGGGGGACGAAGGUCUUCGGAUUGUAAACCCCUUUCGGGAGGGAAGAUGGGAUGGGUAACCAUUCGGACGGUACCUCCAGAAGCAGCCACGGCUAACUUCGUGCCAGCAGCCGCGGUAAUACGAAGGUGGCAAGCGUUGUUCGGAUUUACUGGGCGUACAGGGAGCGUAGGCGGUUGGGUAAGCCCUCCGUGAAAUCUCCAGGCUCAACCUGGAAAGUGCAGAGGGGACUGCUUAGCUAGAGGAUGGGAGAGGAGCGCGGAAUUCCCGGUGUAGCGGUGAAAUGCGUAGAGAUCGGGAGGAAGGCCGGUGGCGAAGGCGGCGCUCUGGAACAUUUCUGACGCUGAGGCUCGAAAGCGUGGGGAGCAAACAGGAUUAGAUACCCCCGUAGUC
rnacentral:rRNA from 1 species